rnacentral:rRNA from 1 species
UACGUAGGGGGCUAGCGUUGUCCGGAAUCAUUGGGCGUAAAGCGCGUGUAGGCGGUCCGGUAAGUCCGCUGUGAAAGUCGGGGGCUCAACCCUCGGAUGCCGGUGGAUACUGUCGGGCUUGAGUACGGAAGAGGCGAGUGGAAUUCCUGGUGUAGCGGUGAAAUGCGCAGAUAUCUGGAGGAACACCGGUGGCGAAGGCGGCGUUCUGGACUGCAACUGACACUGAAAAACGAAAGCCAGGGGAGCAAACGGG